rnacentral:rRNA from 1 species
CAGUCGCCGCGGGAAUACAGAGGGUGCGAGCGUUAAUCGGAUUUACUGGGCGUAAAGCGUGCGUAGGCGGCUUCUUAAGUCGGAUGUGAAAUCCCUGAGCUUAACUUAGGAAUUGCAUUCGAUACUGGGAAGCUAGAGUAUGGGAGAGGAUGGUAGAAUUCCAGGUGUAGCGGUGAAAUGCGUAGAGAUCUGGAGGAAUACCGAUGGCGAAGGCAGCCAUCUGGCCUAAUACUGACGCUGAGGUACGAAAGCAUGGGGAGCAAACAGGAUUAGAGACCCGGGUAGUCCCUGUCUCUUAUAC